UACAGAGGUCUCGAGCGUUGUUCGGAUUCAUUGGGCGUAAAGGGUGCGUAGGUGGCGUGGUAAGUCUGGUGUGAAAUCCCGGGGCUCAACCCCGGAACUGCACUGGAUACUGCCAUGCUUGAGUACUGGAGAGGAGAUUGGAAUUACGGUGUAGCAGUGAAAUGCGUAGAUAUCGUAAGGAAGACCAGUGGCGAAGGCGAAUCUCUGGACAGUUACUGACACUGAGGCACGAAGGCCAGGGGAGCAAACGGG
rnacentral:rRNA from 1 species